CUGGAGGUCAAGGCACCUCCACAGUCCUUGGAGGACUGCCUAUCCUCUAGGAAAGGACAUCAGUUAACAAAUCCUUCUGCCUGAACAGAGUCCUGCUCAGGCAUGUACAACAUUCUUCUCACACACACACACCUCCCAAAUCUUCACAUACCAUGACAACUUAAUGUAUGUUACUAUUUCAGGGUUAUCACUCCUCUGGUAUCUGAUUCUGACACGAUGCUGCUAUCACCAGCUUCUGAAACAAGGGUGUCCUGGGGAUGGCUGAGUCUGGCCUGAUAUCAGCAUUGAAGAGUCUGUUGGCAUCAUAACACCCAUUUUUAGAAGAAAACUGUUUUCUCCUUCUUUACAUCGUCUCAGGCUUGCUCAAUGCUUUGAAGGAUACCAAUAUGACUUCAUCCUUGAAGAGCCGAAGCUUCUGUGUUCCUGUAAGUUUUGUCAUAUUUUCUUCCCUUUUCUCAGCUCUUUGAUGGGUAUAUUUAACACAGGGGGAUUGGUUGGUUGGUUGGUUGUCUGCUUUUUGUCAAAAAAGGCCAAACCAUAACAAACAGCAGCACUUUUUCUACUACUUAUUUUCCAGAGAUCUUUGAGAGUCUACAUAAGCAUCAGCAGAUUCUUCCUUAUCCAGUAUUGAUAUUCUCCAAGCAGUCUACAGCUACCUUGAAGUGUACUGCCAAACCUGGAUAUAUCAGCUUAGCUUUCAUCUCAUCGUUGUCAAGGAAAGUCUCCUAUGUAACCACUCUGUUUAUACAUUGCAGAAUUAUGUUUGAAGCUGCUUCCUCUUUGCUCUAAAGACACACUUGACCUGCCAGAGAGAUCUGAAGUUUUGCUUACAAUAUACAACAUAAAAUGCAUUUAGUUUAUGUUUUGACAUUCCAUUCCAUUUCAACCAUAAUUCUGUGGUAAACACACAAUGAAAAAGCUGGUAUUCUUGGCUCCCAUGAGGGUAUUCAGGUCUCAAAAUUGAACAGUUGACACAUCUGCAAGCAAAAAAAAAAACAAACAAAAAAGCACUGGUGCAGCUAACCCAAAAGUCAGGGCUGGAAAGCCCAAACUAAAGCAAGAAACAACAGCUAAAUUAAAAAUUGUUAAGGAAAAUAAAGAGUAGGCAGUUCUUCA
rnacentral:lncRNA from 1 species